CCAAAUAUCUGGGACUACAGCCAUGUGCCAUCACACUUGGCUAAUUUUUAAUUUUUUUGUAGAGACGAGGUCUUGCUAUGUUGCCCAGGCUGGGCUCCAACUCCUGAACUCAAGUAAUUGUCCUGCCUUGGCCUCCCAAAGCAUUGGGGUUAUAGGUGUGAGCCACCAUGCCUGACCUACCCCAGCUAACUCUUAAUGACCUAGCCCAAGUGCUUCCCGUCUGGAGCCUUCCCUAGCCUGCCAGAGCACACUGGAGACCUCUUAUAGGUGUCUGUUAUGGCACAAAUGUUUAUGUCUCCCCAAAAUUUGUGUUGAAAUUCUAACCCCAAGGUGGUGGCACUAGGAGGUGGGGCCUUUGGGAGGUGAUUGGGUCAUAAAAGUGGAGACCCCAUUCUUAGGCUGCUGUUGCUAUAAAAACAAACAAACAAACAAAAAGACACCAGAGAGCUGGCUAGUCCCUUCCACCAUGUGAGGACCCAGUGAGGAGGCACGGUCUAUGAAAAUAAGAAUUUUGCUCUGUGUGAAACUGCAUACCUAUUCGUCCAUUUGUUCAGCAAGCACUGAAUGAACUUGUGCUAAGAAGCAGGCGCAGUGCCGUGGGCAAAGGAGACUGAGAUGGAGUCCCUGACCUCAAGGAUUCACUGUCUAACAGAGGAGAAAGACUGCUGUUUUCCUUCAUUACAUGAGUCAUGAAUGCUAAUUGAAGAAGAACUAGAAAAUUCAGAUGUGCGAAAUAAAACAUCACCUGGAAUUCUUCCACCCAUAUUACUGCUGUUAAUAUUUUGUUCUGCUGGUCUCUGCUUGACUCGGAGCAUGACGCCCUCAGGCAGGUAUUCUCCACAUAGUGAAGUCCUAAGCCCUCAUCAUCGCAGCUCACCGGCCGAAAACCCCUCUUGUGACUCCA
rnacentral:lncRNA from 1 species